rnacentral:rRNA from 1 species
AUUGAACGCUGGCGGCAUGCCUUACACAUGCAAGUCGAACGGUAACAGGUCUUCGGAUGCUGACGAGUGGCGAACGGGUGAGUAAUACAUCGGAACGUGCCUAGUAGUGGGGGAUAACUACUCGAAAGAGUGGUUAAUACCGCAUGAGAUCUACGGAUGAAAGCAGGGGAUCGCAAGACCUUGUGCUACUAGAGCGGCCGAUGGCAGAUUAGGUAGUUGGUGGGAUAAAAGCUUACCAAGCCGACGAUCUGGAGCUGGCCUGAGAGGACGAUUAGCCACACUGGGACUGAAACACGGCCCAGACGCCUACGGGAGGCAGCAGUGGGGAAUUUUGGAUAAUGGGCGAAAGCCUGAUCCAGCAAUGCCGCGUGCAGGAUGAAGGCCUUCGGGUUGUAGACUGCUUUUGUACGGAACGAAAAGCCCCGGGUUAAUACCCUGGGGUCAUGACGGUACCGUAAGAAUAAGCACCGGCUAACUACGUGCCAGCAGCCGCAGUAA